GUGUGAAGUUACGUGGUCAUUGGGGGUUAGUCCUAGGUCCUAGGCGUGUUGGGAUAAGUU
rnacentral:misc_RNA from 1 species